AGCAUUGUGGACUGGAAGCUGCAGUUUUACGAGAUCCUAUCUACAACGAGAGAUGAAAGAAAUCUUGCAAGGGUACCUGGGUGUUCCUAUUGCAAAUGCUGUGCGUGGAGCUCGCAAAUAAAGGACAAGGAAAAGAAAAGGUAGCAGAGGAGAUUAACCGAGUGUUCUUCUUGGUGUCCUUAAAGAAUACUCUUUGGGGAUGUACUAAUGGACAAAGCUAAAGAUCCAAAGAAAGGGAACUUGAUCCAUUUGAAAGAGAAUAGAAGGCUAAAGGAAGUAAAUGUAAAAAUAUGCUGGUACUCACUCAAAAAGUGCUGACUUCCUCCUGUAGGUCAUCUCACCGGCCCACCUUUUACCACAAAGAGCAUAAUUAAAAAGUGCUGAUGUUCUCUGUUGGCAAGGCUUCUCUUUUCAACUCUUGUUUUAGACUAAAUAACAAGACAGAGUAAGUUAUAUGCAAGAUUGUGAGUUUGUAUCUUACAGACUGUCUUAAAAUUAAAAGGUUUCUACAAUUCCGCAAAAUCACAACCAAAGUAGUCCUAAUCUAUUAGCAAUUAAUUAACUUUGAAAUUGUGUUUUAUAUCGCAAGGCUUUGAACAAAAAAUCACAUGAUGUAGCUGUAAUUAACUGCUACAAGUACUUGCAGAAUGCAUGUGAAAGAACGAGAUGAUACCCACUUG
rnacentral:lncRNA from 1 species